CAGUAGCCGCGGUAAUACGAAGGGUGCAAGCGUUAAUCGGAAUUACUGGGCGUAAAGCGUGCGUAGGCGGUGAGUUAAGUCUGCUGUGAAAUCCCCGGGCUCAACCUGGGAACUGCAUUUGUGACUGGCAAGCUAGAGUGUGGCAGAGGGGGGUGGAAUUCCGCGUGUAGCAGUGAAAUGCGUAGAGAUGUGGAGGAACACCGAUGGCGAAGGCAGCCCCCUGGGCCAAUACUGACGCUCAUGCACGAAAGCGUGGGGAGCAAACAGGAUUAGAGACCCCCGUAGUCCCUGUCUCUUAUAC
rnacentral:rRNA from 1 species